AUGCUGCUCUGCCUCUUCCAUCUCUUUGAGUGCCUUUGCUGCCCUUAGGAAAGCACAGCCGCCCCCCAGGCUCUGGGAUCCCACCACAUCUACCAGCAGUAGAAAAGUCUCUCUCCUUUUGCAUGCUCCAGAUCUCCUCCUUGCCAACCACAGCUGAGUGUACACCCAGGGCUCAGGCUGGCUGGGCAAGCUGCAGACUCUUGACUGGGGCAGUGUCUUAGGCACCAUCGACUCUCUGAGGCCCUGUACAGUGAGACUUCAGCAAAGAGGAGCAGAAGUACUUACAGGACCUGUUCUGGUUGUACUUUCAUGGUUUUCCUCAGGAAGUACAGACCUUUGCAGGUCAAUUUCACUUUGAAUGCCCCUUUGAGCUCCAGAUAUCAGCCAGCUGUAGAAUUCAUGGGGCAUAUCAAGCAUCAGAUAUCCUGAGUUUCCAAGUACGUUCCUGGGAGCUAGCUCCAGGAGCAGGGAGCCGAGCCCAGAACUUCUAUAAGGUGCUCAAUCAAUACCAAGAUAUUAAAGAAACAGUAUGGGACCUCCUUGGUCACACCUGCCCUCGAUUUCUGGCAGACCCCCUUGAAGCAGGGAAGUCAGAACUGGAAUGACAAGUGAAGCUCAAGGCCUGACUGUCUAGUGGCCCCAGUCCCAGGCCUGGCCGUCUGUAGCUGGUGUGCCACGUCUCAGGAUUCUACCCAAUGCCUGUGUGGGUUAUGUGGAUGUGGGGUGACCAGGAGCAACGAGGCACUCAGAGAGGGGAUGUCCUGCCCAGCGCUGAUGGGACAUGGUAUCUCCAAGCAACCCUGGAUGUUGUGGCUGGGGAGGCGGCUGGCCUGUACUGUCGGGUCAAGCACAGCAGUCUCUGGGGUGGAUAUUCCAUCCUUCUGUUCUUGAUCUGUUUGUAGCAGUUAUCGUGGUCAUGUUGGCUAUAAUCGACUCAAGGUUUAAAAAACAGAGGUGA